AUGAAUCUUUGACUAAUAGACUGGAAAUGGCCUUCAUUGCAGGUUUGCGAAUCCAUGAGCCAACAUCUCCUCGGGUAUCUGUCAAAUAAUUGGAGCAAACCUGAAGUAAUUCUUUGACAAAUUCUUCAAUGCUUUCUGUUUUUUCAUAAGUAAAGGGAAUAAUAUUUUGAAGCGCAUUCGCAACAGGUGCUUGAUAGUCUAUUGAGUGCUGUUCAUGUUAACAUUGGUGAAAAAAUUCUUUACUUACGAGUUGGGGAUAAAUAUCCAAUAAAAGCUUGCAUAUCUUUUUCUGGUAUCGAAAACUUAUAUUCGGUAAAUUCUGUAGAAUAAUGUAUACAAUUCUCGCUUCUUUACUUGUUGAGCAUUUUCGUAUAUAGUCAAGAAGAACCUCCAAUGUUUCUUCCAUAUCAUCAAAUUUAACAAGUACACUGUAAGCGUCACUGAUGUCUUUUAUGAUUGUUUCCUCCUGUAAAUCAAUAGCAGCGAUUAUAACAGAAAAUGCUUCACUGAAAAAUGCUCUGUCAACACGAAUAUCAUUGGCAAAAAUUUGUUGAAUUCCUUUUAAAAUUCCCAAAAUAAUUUUUGUUUGCUGUUGCCUUGAAAAUUUUUUUAAGGACAGUAGGUUUUUGUGCGACAGUAAAUCAUGGAUACGAUUUAUAUCGAACGGGAAGCUUAUGGAUAAAAAUCCACCUAUAAUACUUGCCAAUCCAAUCGUAUAGCCAAAAAUAAAAUCUGCAUUACCAACAGACAAAUAAUCAAGUAUGGGAGGAAGAUAGAUGCUUAGCUCUUUGGGAUAUUUAAUAGAAAGUUGUCUUAGGGAAAAAGCAGAAAGCUGCUGUACCUUCACGUCCCAGUGCUGAAGGUUUGUAAAUAGUCUUUGGAAAACACAGGAACGAAACUGAGGAAAAUGAGCUACUUUCAUACACAAGUCACCAUAACAAUUUGAAAUAUCCGUUACAGAAACAUAGUUAAUAUGUGAUAUCAAAGAAAGCCCAUCGGGAAUAGAAGCGUGUCUGCCAAUCACCUCAAAUAAAGCAGCAGUUGCAGCUCUGCGCACAUUUAUUUCAUUGUCAAACAAUACCGUUUGUAAGAGACAUAAAAUAAGAU